rnacentral:rRNA from 1 species
AGCAGUAGCCGCGGGAAUACCAGCACCUCGAGUGGUCAGGAGGUUUAUUGGGCCUAAAGCAUCCGUAGCCGGUUGCAUAAGUUUUCGGUUAAAUCUAUGCGCUUAACGUAUAGGCCGCCGAAAAUACUGUGCAGCUAGGGAGUGGGAGAGGUACACGGUACUCGAUAGGAAGGGGUAAAAUCCUUUGAUCUAUUGAUGACCACCUGUGGCGAAGGCGGUGUACCAGAACACGUUCGACGGUAAGGGAUGAAAGCUGGGGGAGCAAACCGGAUUAGAUACCCCAGUAGUCCCUGUCUCUUAUAC